GUGAUUAGGAUAUUAUGCAAUUGGGCCAUGAAAUGUUGUUAUAGUGAAUACUUUGUUGUCUAUAUGUUUUGGCAAAGGGAAAUUUUAGCAAGGCUUCCAAAUUGUUUGACGUUUUUAGUGAUGCAGGUGUGAGUGCAGAUUGAAAGAAGAAACUUCACAAUACCUGUAAAAUGAUUGAUUUAUCUCUUGACAAAAAAGCAAAUAUAUGUUCCUUCUUUUUGAUUAUGCCCCGUUAUAAAAUAUUUUGGGCUUUCAUUAAGCUAGGUUUUGGUUUAUAUGCAUUAAAG
rnacentral:lncRNA from 1 species